UCUCCGCGUUAAUUUCUUAGAUUGCACUAGCGUACAAUCUUCAUCGAAAACUAGAGAAUUCGUAGCGAUAUUGAGUGGUACUUGAAUUAUUGUUUGCUCAGGCAAUCGAGGAGAUCUCCAAGAGGAACUCGGAGCGGACGCCUAAAACGCUUGUUUGAGACCUAUUGCGCUUGUUUGACUAGGAUUUGAGACCAAAGGUGCUCGGAAGUAGUACUAGAUUGUUUACUUUCAUGAAUGUAAUUCGAGUUAAACAUUGUAGUUUUGCCUUAGGUUGCCACUUGAAGCUGGAAAAGUGUAAACCCUGGAUUUGUAUGUGGCUUGUAUGAAUUUGUUACUUGGCUUGUAAGGAUGUAUUUGAAUUGAUGUUUUGUUUCUUGGGUUGUAUUCGGGAAGGUAUUUUAAGAAUCGACGUUGG